rnacentral:rRNA from 1 species
UGCCAGCAGCCGCGGUAAGACGGAGGGGGCUAGCGUUGUUCGGAAUUACUGGGCGUAAAGCGCGCGUAGGUGGCACAUCUAGUCAGGCGUGAAAGCCCUGGGCUCAACCCAGGAAUUGCGCUUGAAACUGAUGAGCUAGAGUCCGGGAGAGGGUAGCGGAAUUCCCAGUGUAGAGGUGAAAUUCGUAGAUAUUGGGAAGAACACCAGUGGCGAAGGCGGCUACCUGGACCGGCACUGACGCUGAGGUGCGAAAGCGUGGGGAGCAAACAGGAUUAGAUA